rnacentral:lncRNA from 1 species
UUUGUAUUUUGUUUCUUAUGUUUUUUUUAAUUUGUUUCAAUUUUUUGAUGUCCAACAAUUAAAUUAUUUUCAUUAACUCUAUUUAGGUGACAUGACCUUAACUAUAAAUGGUUCAUUUUCUUCCUCACUAACCUUUACCAUGGUUGAUUAUCGUCUAAGCUUGUGACCUCCACCAUGGCCAUCGUCUUGAACAUUGGCUUUAAUGGUUGUCGUUCUUCACACGAAUAUCGAUUUUCUUGUAUUGGAUGUUGUGAACAUAGAUGGGAAAGUCUAGAUCCAGGGACGAGGAUCACUUGUCCCUAAUGGUGUUCCGUUCUCUGUCCAAAGUCAAUCAUAUAUUAACACGUGAAUAAAAUAAAAAAAUUAAAAGCAAAAAGUAAUAUAAUAGAAUAUUCUGAUUGACUUGGGACAUAGAGUAAGACACCAUUUAGGACAAGUGAUCUACUUCACAGAUCUAAAUAUGGGAAACAAAGUUGACCUAUGAUAGCCCAUUUGUCUUCAUAGGAAUGAGAACUUAUGAGUUUUAGUCAAAAACAGAGCAACGAGUUUCAAUCACCACUUUUGCAUCUUGGUUGACAUAAAUAAUAUAAUUGUUGGACAUCAAAAACUUAAGAGACUUAUUUGGAACAAAAAAAGCUUAAGAAAUUAGAUACUAAACUUAAAAUAACUUAAGGGAUUGAGUAGGGUUUUGCCAAUUUGAUUUAAUUUUUGAAAAGAAUUAUGAACAAUUUAUUUUCUCAAAUACAUACAAUAUUAAUAUUCAAAUAAUGGAACUCUCACCAUAUGAAGAUGUGGUUGCAUUGCUAGGUUGCUAGGUUGCUAGGAUACAAUAAAACAUACCCACCGAUUCCUCAUAAAGCUUCAACCCAAGUUGUUUUCUUUUUGUUCAUGUUCGAAUGAAGAAAAAGUGAAAAUAUCAAGUAGUGCCAACACCACUUUCUUUAAAUAUUAAUUUUGUUCUUC